GAGUAAUAUUAAAUUUCCAAUAAAUAUUAAAAAAAAAUCAAAUAAAUGGAUUCUCUCACAAAUAUUUAAUUACAUUAAUGCUCUUAAAAAAACAUUUAAUAUUCAAUCAGCAUACUCCCAAAUUUAACAAAAAUUGCCUCAUCUACCACCUACCAUCAAUUCUACAUAAGAAAUGAGAAUUCCAGUUUUCGCAACAGAUUUCACUAAUCUCCGGCUUUAGACAUGAUGGAAAGCCGGCUGGGUCUCGUCUCGAAAGCGGCUCGACGCCGAAGAUGAUGCGAAGAAGGACGAAUCAGAGCCGACAAUGCUCUCUUCACUAGCUCUCCCUCCACACCUCCGAUCCUCACAAGCGAAUUCGUCAUCGCCGAUCGCCUAAAGUUCAAUCUACUACUUGAGUGAUAUGACGCUGAUUGUGUACUGCUGCUGUGAUGGUCAUAGCCAUUAUUUCUCAUUAAUGACCUGUGGAAGGCGCACCGGAAGGAGCCGGGAUGCGUCGUAGGGGAACACGCGCACGUUCUCUUCUGAUUGGACACUGCAUUGGCAUUGGAGGUGUGCCUUUUGAUGGAAAUCGAACGGUUAGGAGAGAUUGAACGAUCGAUUGAUAAACGCAAGGACGACGAAGAUUGAUGGUUGUUCUGGCGAUGGUGGUGACUGUACAUGUUCACUCGUGUGGGGGAGUUGGCACGUGCAAAUAAAGUGGCGGAGGUAGAAGAGGAGGAGCUAGAUGUGAAACUGGAAGCGGUUGAUGAAGCGAAAGAAGACGACGACGAUGACAUCAAUGGUGGUGGCAUGCGGCACGUGCAAUGAGUAUGACCAUUCGAUUUGUUUCUAUACAUGGCCAUUGUUGCAUCAGAGACAAGCAAGAAAUGAA
rnacentral:misc_RNA from 1 species